GCUACACAUCUUUUCUGAACAUUCUUAGUGCUAGUCUCACUUUAUCUAAAUAAAAAAAGUAGGCAAAUUAUAAUGUAGAUCUCUCUGUCAAGAGUGCUAGAAAUGCUUAUGGAACAAUACUGCCUGCAUAUCCUUCUUUCCAUUUACAAUGCUGUCUCCUGGAAUUACAAGCAGGAUUUGAUUUGAAAUCCAAGCUAUUCUCGUGAAAAAAGAGCUGUAGCUGAAUACUGCUGUUAAAACACUCUACUUCUUUUAACAGCACUUCAUAAAGCAUUUUAUACCCGCAGUAAGGCUUUCCUUCCAGUGCACUGGAGCAGCUAUGUCUAGCUUCCGAUCGUGCAGUCAGACUCUGCUUCACUGCUGUUGAAUAAAGUUGAAGAUAACAAGGCUCAGAGAGAGAAAACCAUCCUGUGCCAUUUCCAAAAAUGCAAAGAUGUACUCCUUGGAAUGAAAAUGCACUGAAAAUAGGCAGUCUUUUUCUGUGAUUCUCAAGAAUAGCCCAGAGGAGAAGGAUAUACUGAAAAUAAGCAACCUGAAGCUAAAUCAUACCAUGUAAUAUGGAAGUGCACCAGUGAAAGCCAGUACACUGGGGUUCAGAGAACAGAGAGUGGAUUCCAAAGAUGCUGAUAAAUCUUUUGCAAUUUGCAAUGUGUGUAGCACAGGCAAGGUGCCAUGUGAAGGACGUUGUACAGUUCUGGAGGCCAAAAGGUAUACAACUAGGUGGAAAGAAAGCAUGCAGUUAAAAAUGUAGAUGAAAGUGAAGGGCCUUAGAUAUAAGGAAGGCUAUGAAAGCUAUGAAUGCACACACGCACACACACUCAUACACACAUACUAUGAGAUAUUGAAAUGUGAUUGAAAUUACUUAAGUGAUUAUGAGAUACUGAAAACAUCUGUAUUAUUUAUAGCUAUAGUUUGAAAAAAAAUUUUUAUACGGGGCAACCCCCCCCCACAUAUGGAGAUAACCCCCAAACAUAUAUACCAAUUUCUUGGUUGUACAAUAUUGUGGAAAUGAGACAUUCCCCAAAAUAGUGCACUAGAGUGUUACACAAUCCUUGAGCAAGUAAUUUCCAAGGAACUGUGCUAUGAGGACACAAAGAGCAGCUUAUAUGGGCAUCACGUACACAUGC